ensembl:lncRNA
AUCUGAAUAAGUCUCUAGGAGGAGUUCGUUAAAGUACAACCCCUGAAAAUGGCAAAAACGACACAAAUUUUGCAGAGAAAAUUCAAAAUAACUGACUUCCUGUUGGGAUUCGAAUUUCGUACCAAGAGACUUUUUUGUAGGUAUUGGUGUGUUACAUGUGUGUACCGAUUUUUGUACAUGUACGUGAAACGUAGCUCGAGGCGCACUCCGUUGAAUAUGUAUAGGUGGCGCUAUCGAGGCAUUUUGCCACACCCAAUGGAAUAUUGGCCUUCAGAUGUGUUCAGGCCAGGACACUUAUCAAACAUGUGAAGUUUGGGCAAGAUCGGACAUUUUAUGCCUGAGUUACAAUAACUUUUAUUCCCAUGGCGAGACAUCGAACUUUGUGACGGCGCCAUGGACACGCCCUUUAACGAAAACUCAAGAUCUUCA